AUUUAAAAGAACCGAAUAGUAAUAAAUUCACAAACACUUACUGUGAUUUUAUUUAUACAGAAACGAAUAUAAUUGCUUACAAGAAACUUAGUUGGUCCGAGCGUCACCGAGAAUAUAUCAGACGCACAACUACGUACGUAUAAGUAUGAUCAAUCCAUGUGUAUCAAACAGUUCCUGGAUGCUGUCUUUCCGAGCUGAAACAUGCAGCAGACGAAUACACCAGUAUAGCACCGGCAGUUCGUAAGGAUUCUCCGAGUACCACUCCACAUACCACAUCAAUCUGUUUGGAAAUCAUCGCAUUGUAUACAGCAUAUUAGUGCUAUAAUUUAACUCAAAGUCAAUGUAAUCUCGCCUUGACACGUCAUAGCAGUUCUAUAUAUUUUGUAUAAAA